rnacentral:rRNA from 1 species
GACGAACGCUGGCGGCGUGCUUAACACAUGCGAGUCGAACGGAAAGGCCCUGCUUUUGUGGGGUGCUCGAGUGGCGAACGGGUGAGUAACACGUGAGUAACCUGCCCUUGACUUUGGGAUAACUUCAGGAAACUGGGGCUAAUACCGGAUAGGAGCUCCUGCUGCAUGGUGGGGGUUGGAAAGUUUCGGCGGUUGGGGAUGGACUCGCGGCUUAUCAGCUUGUUGGUGGGGUAGUGGCUUACCAAGGCUUUGACGGGUAGCCGGCCUGAGAGGGUGACCGGCCACAUGGGGACGGAGAUACGGCCCAGACUCCUACGGGAGGAAGCAGGGGGGAAGAUUGCACAAGGGGCGGAAGCCUGAUGCAGCAACGCCGCGUGCGGGAUGACGGCCUUCGGGUUGUAAACCGCUUUCGCCUGUGACGAAGCGUGAGUGACGGUAAUGGGUAAAGAAGCACCGGCAAACUACGG